GAAGAAGUAAUCGUCUAGGUGGCAGGACGGGUGAGUAACACGUGGGUAACCUACCUUCAAGCUGGGGAUAACGUUUGGAAACGAACGCUAAUACCGAAUAAGAUAUAGCAAUAUAUUGAAAGAAGCCCUUAAAAGCUUCACUUAAAGAUGGGCCUGCGGCGUAUUAACUAGUUGGUGAGGUAACGGCCCACCAAGUCUGCGAUCAGUAGCCGGACUGAGAGGUUGAUCGGCCACAUUGGGACUGAGACACGGCCCAGACUCCUACGGGAGGCAGCAGUGGGGGAUAUUGCACAAUGGGAGAAAGCCUGAUGCAGCGACGCCGCGUGAGGGAAGACGGUUUUCGGAUUGUAAACCUCUGUCUUCGGGGACGAAAAUGACGGUACCCGAGGAGGAAGCCACGGCUAACUACGUG
rnacentral:rRNA from 1 species